AGAUCUAUAGCUUAAAUAGAUAAAAGCAUAUAAAUACGAAUUAUAGUAUAAAGGUUAAAGUCCUUUUAGAUCUUA
rnacentral:tRNA from 1 species